rnacentral:other from 1 species
AGUUUCCUGUGACGUUGGUGAAGCAUUUUUGGUUUUAAUCUAUGUAUGAUGUAUCGGGAAUCCGAGGCCGUAUUUAGAACAAAAGCCUCCUAUGAGUGGACUUGCGAAGAGUACGUUAGGAUACCCACCUGUGAGAGCAGGUUCAAAACCUUUUGCUUCACGGCAGAACGGGGCUAUA